rnacentral:ribozyme from 1 species
GGUCCCGGCACAGUAGCCAAGGAACUAUCCAUCAGCAAAGCUAAUGCCCAACAAAUGAUGAAUGACUUCUUUCGGCGGUUCCGACGGGUCAAAGCGUGGAUGGAUGAAACGGUUGCAUCUGCAAGGAGAAAGUCAUAUGUCAAAACAAUUGCAGGUCGAAAACGU